UACGGGGGGGAGCAAGCGUUGUUCGGAUUUACUGGGCGUAAAGGGCGCGUAGGCGGUCGUGACAAGUCACUUGUGAAAUCUCCGGGCUUAACUCGGAACGGUCAAGUGAUACUGUCGGACUAGAGUACAGAAGGGGCAACUGGAAUUCUCGGUGUAGCGGUGAAAUGCGUAGAUAUCGAGAGGAACACCUGCGGCGAAGGCGGGUUGCUGGGCUGAUACUGACGCUGGAGGCGCGAAAGCUAGGGGAGCGAACGGG
rnacentral:rRNA from 1 species